GCUUUUAGGUAGUCUGUAAAGCUUUAAGCGCUUAUCCCUGCCACGCAUCUUUCUCGCUCAUGCAAUUCCAUUUGAAAUGCUAAACAAUCGGCAAAAGUCUUCCCUUUUGAAUGAUCAACCAAACAUUCUCACUUUUGGAUACCAGAAAUUGUUACCUCGCAACAAAUGUACUUAGGCUACAAGCACGUUUGAUCAAGGGCAAAGGAGCUUUGAAUCAUCAUAAGAGGGUGAAACAAACUUUGCUUGAUGUAAGACUUACUAUGAUUCUCUACAAAAAAGGAAGACUAAUAAUAUAACCUAAAUGAAAUUAGUAGCAGAAUGAACUCACCGAAUACAAACUCUGGAAAAUCUUACACAGAGCAUAAUAGAUUUCUCUCCCCUUAUUUUACUGUCCGCCAAAACAUUCUUAUAUCUUCUCGAACUUCAAAUCUACAUUACUGAUACCACCAAAACCAAUAGGAGCAAACAGGCUACUCUAGCUCCUCAAUCUCAACUUGUUUACCAAAGGAAAUGUAGCACGAGAGGAGGAUGAAGGAAA
rnacentral:lncRNA from 1 species